AGGACGACGCUGGCGGCGUGCCUAACACAUGCAAGUCGAGCGGGGUUGAGGCGAGAGGUAACUCGAGCUUCUACCUAGCGGCGGACGGGUGAGUAACGCGUGGGCAACCUGCCUCAAGGUUUGGGAUAACAGCCCGAAAGGGCUGCUAAUACCGGAUAUGCCUAUGGCCUCGCAUGGGGCUAUGAGCAAAGGGGAAACCCGCCUUGAGAUGGGCCCGCGUCCCAUCAGCUAGUUGGUGAGGUAACAGCUCACCAAGGCGACGACGGGUAGCCGGCCUGAGAGGGUGACCGGCCACACUGGGACUGAGACACGGCCCAGACUCCUACGGGGGGCAGCAGUGGGGGAUCUUGCACAAUGGGCGAAAGCCUGAUGCAGCGACGCCGCGUGAGCGAAGAAGGCCUUCGGGUUGUAAAGCUCUGUCUGGAGGGACGAACAAAAUGACGGUACCUCCGGAGGAAGCCACGGCUAACUACGUG
rnacentral:rRNA from 1 species